rnacentral:rRNA from 1 species
UCUCCGUUGGUGAACCAGCGGAGGGAUCAUUACCGAGUUUUCAACUCCCAAACCCCCUGUGAACAUACCUUUAUCGUUGCUUCGGCGGGACGCCCCGGCGCCUUCGGGCCCGGACCCAGGCGCCCGCCGGGGACCCCAAACUCUUGUUUUAUAUAUAAUGGAUCUUCUGAGUACCACAAGUUUAAUAAUUAAAACUUUCAACAACGGAUCUCUUGGUUCUGGCAUCGAUGAAGAACGCAGCGAAAUGCGAUAAGUAAUGUGAAUUGCAGAAUUCAGUGAAUCAUCGAAUCUUUGAACGCACAUUGCGCCCGCUAGUAUUCUAGCGGGCAUGCCUGUUCGAGCGUCAUUUCAACCCUCAAGCCCCCCCGGGGGCUUGGUGUUGGGGAUCGGCCGCGGCUUCCGUGCCCGGCCGGCCCCGAAAUCUAGUGGCGGUCUCGCUGUAGUCCUCCUCUGCGUAGUAACACACCUCGCACCGGAACUUGGCCUGGCCACGCCGUAAAACACCCCCCCAUUUCUGAAUGUUGACCUCGGAUCAGGUAGGAAUACCCGCUGAACUUAA